AGGACGAACGCUGGCGGCGUGCCUAACACAUGCAAGUGGAGCGACGAACCAGGCUUCGGCCUGGGGCAGAGCCGCGAACGGGUGAGUAACACGUGGGUAACCUGCCCUGAUGAUUGGGACAACCCGAGGAAACUCGGGCUAAUACCAAAUGUGCCCUCUGGCUUCAAGGCCUGUGGGGAAAGGAGCUUCGGCCUCCGCAUCGGGAUGGGCCCGCGGCCUAUCAGCUUGUUGGUGAGGUAACGGCUCACCAAGGCGACGACGGGUAGCCGGCCUGAGAGGGCGACCGGCCACACUGGGACUGAGACACGGCCCAGACUCCUACGGGAGGCAGCAGUGGGGAAUAUUGCGCAAUGGGCGAAAGCCUGACGCAGCGACGCCGCGUGGGGAUGAAGGCCUUCGGGUUGUAAACCCCGUUUCAGCAGGGACGAAGCGAAAGUGACGGUACCUGCAGAAGAAGCGCCGGCUAACUACGCGCCAGCGAGCCGCGGU
rnacentral:rRNA from 1 species